CAAAAGGAGUCCAGGAACUAGUUCAUAUUUGGAUGCUCAGCUUUUCUGAAUACGGUUUAGUACCAAGGUACAGAUUUUCUAGUGCAUUUAACCUUAUCCAGAGGCCUGCACUUUCUAAACCUUGACUGUCUGGCUUACCUAAACUUAGUACAGGUACAAGAUUUCUAGUGCUCACCUGUACCCAGGUGGUCUCUCACUUCAACAGUGGUUUCAUUUCACUCUUUCAGCUUUCUCUCUGUGAAAAAAGUCAAAGUUCAUAAUUGGUUGAGUAUAUGGAUAGUGAUUUCCCCCCCUUGACUUCAGAACUGUUUGACCAAAGUCUUACUAAAAGGCCAUGUCCUAUAAAACAAGGAGAUAACUGUGUCCUCUGAAGGAACUUCUCGAUGUGCUGAGUUGAGCACAUCUGCACAGGCCAGGCACUGUGUAUACGUGGCCCUGCACACAGCUUUUCUGAAAAAUCCAGUCCCCUGCACAUUCAAUCCACACUUCAUGUGUGUGUGUGAACAGGAGAACGUGAAGGACACGUCCUCCUGAGUUUAGAGGAUUUACUGCAUGUAUAUAGCAAACCCUGAAAUAAAACAGUACCUGAAAUAUAGGGCCGGCUCUGCACGCAUAGCAGCAGUUCUUCAGAUGUGUAGCAAACAUAAGACAAAUGGGACUUUCUGCAGGAUUGCUUGCUUGCACAAGACAUCUAUUCCAUUCCUGCACCACGGUAAGCAGCAGAGGGGAGAGGAGCUGUGGGUGUAUUGAGAGAGAACACAGCUACAGGAGAAGAGGUGAUUUGGAGCAGUGCUGCAGGGUGAAUUUUAAUUGUCCCAGCAAGCUGCCUGUAGACUUGCAGCCCACAUUCAGAUCACCUUUGUUCUAGUGCUGUUCAAGGCCAGGCUGGAUGGGGCUUUGAGCAACCUGGUCUGGUGGGAGGUGUCCCUCCCCAUGGCAGGGGUGUGGAACUGAGUGGUCUUUAAGGUCCCUGCCAACCCAAACCAUUUUGUGAUUCUAUGAUUUUAUGAAUAACAGAAGGACAAUGGCCAAAUUGAAAAGAUCCCCUACAAGUUUUUAAUCUGAGUUUGGCUUUCAGAGAUGCCAAUCACUUCUGUCUCCGUUUGCCUUGAGUUUGAGCCACAGUAGCACAUGCUUGUUUAUAAUGAGGUCUCAAAUUAUAGAAAAAAGAUUCAUUUCUCGUAAGUGGAUGUUUUGUGAGUGUGAUGAGCCUAAAUCAAGGCAGCGUGGAUUAAGCUGUCCCUCUAAUUUUCCAGCUCACUAUUGGAGGGUAUUUGUUAACCUAAAACUCAGUUACAGCCUGUACGCUAUUGUCUUUUAUUAAAAUUCAUUUGAAGUCCUUAUCCAUUAUCUUGGCAUUCUGCAGAAUGUAUGAUUAUGUCCCAAAGUAUGGUUGAACAAGUUUCCUUAUGUGGGUGACAACAUCUGACCCUCUUCUGUAGUAGCAUGGACUCAAUACAAGUGCUAAAAAGUCACCUCAUCCAUUCUGAAUGCCUGCCAGUGGAAAUUGGGAGCACAAGACGCUGAGACUGUGCUGGAAGGAAGUGAUCUCUGAAGUGAGGGGAGACGGGCUGCUAAUUCCAACAACAAACUUCUACCUGCUGUCAAGAAUGAUUAUGGAUCGGAGGGGCCACAGGUGGAGAUGCACUAUGACCUCUUGCAAAGUUUCACAUGCCUACAUGGCACAGUUAACCUUGUCUCUAAGUGAGUGCUCGUGCUCUCCAGGUGCAUGAGAAGGCCCAAACACCCCCUGGACCUCCUGGGACUUCUUGAAGCCAGAUUCUGCAGGCGCAAAUUAUCUGGGUUAGAGUCAAUGACAGCGUGAGCUCUGGUGAACGUGGAGCAGUGAAAAACCCGGCUCCCAGGACUGACGAUUUAAAGUGCAUAGGAGAUCUAGCAGAAUCCCAAAAGAUGAGACGGUGUUUUAAUUCCUUUCUCAUAGCUGUGGAAGUCGAAGGACUUUUUCUUCUCUUCUUCCCCCACAUUCCCAAGACAGUGGUAUGAACAUUUUCAACCCUUCCCUAUGCUUUCCCUGAUGAUCUUUGGAGGUUUCUUCUCUGUAUUUAAGAACAAUUUGUAGUGUUAUAAACAAAGACAGUUGAUUUUUGCAUACUCCUUCACCGCAUUCUGUUACAGCUUUUCCUGUUUAGAGUCAUGCCCACUGCAUCUUUUUUAAAAAAUAUGUAUCACUUGGCAGUGUUCUCGCACCAAAAGAAAAGGAUAUAUUUGUAUAUAAAGUAACUUUUUUGUGUGUUCACGUUUUAUUUUGGAAAAACAGGUGUUUAAAAAUUUUAGAAUUUUUUUUAACAAAAUUCUAAAAAAAAAAAUCACAAUAUUUACAGAGAUAACAUAAUGGCUUAGCCAUGCAAAACAAAUUACUUUGGUUUUUUACCCCAUUUUACUUUGGUUUAAAUAUUGACCAAGAUUAUAAUUUUUUUCUUUUUGCCAAAUAAAACAGUAACAAAUCAGAGUUUAGAGGCAUAUAACAGGAUUUCCCUCUAUUAUUUUAUACAGCAUAGAGUUUAUAGGACAUCUUAUGUAUUUAAUCCAUGCCAAUGCACUACAGGAAGCUUUUAUUAAGACAUCAGUCACUACUGCCCAGACAUGUAACAUUUUACAAAUUUACAAGUAACAGUGUUUUCUUCCCCCUAAAUAAUGCAAAAGUGGCAAAAUACAUUUCCUAACGUCCAUCUCUUUCUUUCUUUUAUUUAUUUUUUUUGCCUACCAGUCUAUAAAAACAUACUUUUCCCUGGAUAUUUGUAAAUGGAAACCUGAUGUUCUGCUUGCUCUACAGUUCCUCUUCAUCAAAGCUGCCUAUUACUUUCUUCCAGAAACUAACCUUCCAAAAAGAUGAAACUUUUCCCCCUUCAGUACAAUUUUCUAUUGGCCAUUUACGCCAAAACAUUUUCUUAUCAGUACCAUUCUAAAAAUUUCCUCAAGCAUAAAACAUGUUUAUAAAGUUACAAACUUGAAUGUAACUAAAGAUACAUAGACAUUUCAUUGUUACAAUUAUAUGUACUGUUUGAUAAAUUAAGUACCAGUUAAAAACACUAAAAUUAUCUCAAGGUGCAUUCAAUAUCUGUAGCAUAGUUAACAAAAACACACAAAAAAUAUAUAUAUUCUAUUUUUGUGGAAAAAAAAUGCAGCUUUGAUAUGACCACUUUUUUUCUCUUUUUUUUUUUUUAAAAAGUCUCCAAUUCUGACUGAUAUCUUUUUGAAAUGAAUAAAAGGUACAGUACUUUAAGGCAGCGGAUAACGUAAAGGAAUCAAAAUCAAUCCAGAAUUCCAGUUCCCUAUCCUAAUUCUAACAUGAAAGACAACAGAUUCAGGCCUCUUGCAGCGAUGAUGAAUAAAGCCUACCAAAAACUACUGCUUCCAGUAGGGCAAGAAGGCUCCUGUGAACAUUGGAAGUUGUAACUCAAAAUCUACUAAAUAGUACCUAAGCGUCCUCUUCACACACACACAGGUAUGAAUUUGUAACUGGCCAGGGGCUCGAGUCUGUCCCAAUACUACCACAGUCAACAACCACUCCACUUCCCAGCCUCGGAAAGAAAAGUAACAUCUGUUGUGACAGAUUCAUGCAUAUGCUCACCCUUGCUUCAGGGCAAAGAUCCGUAGUGACACUGACUUGCGAAAUACAAUGAAGACACAGGUUAGCGAGAUAGUGUGACAUGUCACGCCGACACCAUGCAGGUAGAGCACAGAAUCUGGCUUGGCAUGGCCUUUUCCAUACGUUAAGUCUUACAAAACUGGAGAGGAGACAGCAGGCAAGGAAAUGAAAAGCUGAAAGAAUCUGGACUUGGGCAAUUACCUGAGCUGACGUGAGUUGGAGGUGUUCUAUUUCAGUUCCGCAUUCAGUGAAGCUGUGGUGUUCCCCUGGCUAAAUGUCAUCUCUAUUUUCCUGAAGCCAAAAUGGGUGAGAAUAGAGAGCUAAAAGGCAGCGCUCUCACUUUGAAAGAGUGCUAUCUAAAUAGUGCUAUUAAGAAGAGCCAGAAGAGAAAAUCGGACUGAGUCACAGCCAGGCGAUCCAUUGGCAGUGUGGUGCCAACAGCAGAGGAACAGUGCAUUGGCUACUGUCAACUUGCUCCACUUGCAACUCAAGAGAGACGAGAGACUUCCUGAUGGUAUCUGAGCAGCUGGGCAACUCAGUCUGAAUGGACUCAAAUAUUGCAGAGGAUUUGCCAAAAAGGACAAGACAGCCUACUUUGCCCAGCCUAGGCCUCACCCUCAGUUCCAUUUCAGAAGAAAAUUUGCGGCGCCUUUUGUCCUGUUAUCAACUUGUGAUAACAACAGACUUGGAAAGUUCUGUGCUGCUGCCUUCUCAGACUUUCCUUUGGCGUCACUUUGGGGAUAGAGAUCAGAGCCAGUAGACAACGCCGGCAACCAGGGCAACCAGCAGAAGACCAACUACAAUGCCCACUAUUAGCUUUGCCUGGUCAUUAACCUUUUCACUAUUGUCAUCUGAAGCAAAGAAGAAAAGAUAAUGAGGUGACCUAUGAU